AUUGAACGCUGGCGGCAGGCUUAACACAUGCAAGUCGAGCGGAGUGAUGGUGCUUGCACUAUCACUUAGCGGCGGACGGGUGAGUAAUGCUUAGGAAUCUGCCUAUUAGUGGGGGACAACAUCUCGAAAGGGAUGCUAAUACCGCAUACGUCCUACGGGAGAAAGCAGGGGAUCACUUGUGACCUUGCGCUAAUAGAUGAGCCUAAGUCGGAUUAGCUAGUUGGUGGGGUAAAGGCCUACCAAGGCGACGAUCUGUAGCGGGUCUGAGAGGAUGAUCCGCCACACUGGGACUGAGACACGGCACAGACUCCUACGGGAGGCAGCAGUGGGGAAUAUUGGACAAUGGGGGGAACCCUGAUCCAGCCAUGCCGCGUGUGUGAAGAAGGCCUUAUGGUUGUAAAGCACUUUAAGCGAGGAGGAGGCUACUGAGACUAAUACUCUUGGAUAGUGGACGUUACUCGCAGAAUAAGCACCGGCUAACUCUGUGCCAGCCGCCGCAGUAA
rnacentral:rRNA from 1 species